UACGUAGGGUGCAAGCGUUGUCCGGAAUUAUUGGGCGUAAAGAGCUCGUAGGCGGUCUGUCGCGUCUGCUGUGAAAACUCGGGGCUUAACCCCGGGCCUGCAGUGGGUACGGGCAGACUAGAGUGCGGUAGGGGAGACUGGAAUUCCUGGUGUAGCGGUGAAAUGCGCAGAUAUCAGGAGGAACACCGGUGGCGAAGGCGGGUCUCUGGGCCGUAACUGACGCUGAGGAGCGAAAGCAUGGGGAGCGAAC
rnacentral:rRNA from 1 species